GACGAACGCUGGCGGCGUGCUUAACACAUGCAAGUCGAACGGAAAGGCCCCUUUGGGGGUACUCGAGUGGCGAACGGGUGAGUAACACGUGAGUAACCUGCCCUUGACUUCGGGAUAACUUCAUGAAACUGGGGCUAAUACCGGAUAGGAAUCCUUGCUGCAUGGUGGGGGUUGGAAAGCUUCGGCGGUUUUGGAUGGACUCGCGGCUUAUCAGCUUGUUGUUGGGGUAGUGGCUUACCAAGGCUUUGACGGGUAGCCGGCCUGAGAGGGCGCCCGGCCACAUUGGGACAGAGAUACGGCGAAGAUUCCUACGGGAGGCAGCAGUGGGGAAUAUUGCACAAUGGGCGGAAGCAUGAUGCAGCAAAGCAGCGUGCGGGAUGACGGCCUUCGGGUUGUAAACCGCGUUCAGCAGGGGCGAAGCUUGUGGUGACGGUACCUGCAGAAGAAGCACCGGAUAACUACGUG
rnacentral:rRNA from 1 species